rnacentral:lncRNA from 1 species
CGAUAUCUGUUGAGCAUGUCAUCGGAUUAGGCUCCCUGCGAUCGAUCUCCCCCCAUAUUCCUUGCAUGGUGAGCCAGAAUUCUUCUAGUGUUGAUGAUCCCUGUUUCAUGCUGUUUGCUCUGGUAUGUAGAUCAAAUAUCUGUAAUUUAUCUUUCCCACUGCUAUAUGUGAUAACAAGAGCAUUCCACAAAUCUUUAGCUGUGGAAUACUCUGUUAAGUUGUUUGCUAGUUGUGGUUCCAUGUUCUGAAUUAACCAUGAGAACACAAUCAAAUCUUCUUGUUCCCACUUUUCAAAAUGUGGAUCUCCAGCGGAUGGAGGUGUAGCAGCUUCAGUGAUGUGGUUUAACAAUUUUUUUGAUUUUCCCCCAAUAGCUACUUUCAUCAUACGUGACCAUAUUGCAUAAUUUUGGCUAUUUAAUUUGACAUUGAUGGUGAGGUUAUCUGAAAUGGUUUGUUUCUGGUUUUGGGUAUUAAUCAGGUUUGCAAUUCUUGUCAGGUCUUCGUCGUUGAGACCCGAGGUAUGAACACUAUCAUCAGACAUGAUGAUAUUUGGUUAUUUCAGGUAAGUCAGAAGGUAGGUGAUGAGCUAAAUGUGUUCAGUCAGUUCUGACUGAAAA